rnacentral:rRNA from 1 species
UACGAAGGGGGCUAGCGUUGCUCGGAAUCACUGGGCGUAAAGCGCACGUAGGCGGAUCUUUAAGUCAGGGGUGAAAUCCUGGAGCUCAACUCCAGAACUGCCUUUGAUACUGGGGAUCUCGAGUCCGGAAGAGGUGAGUGGAACUCCGAGUGUAGAGGUGAAAUUCGUAGAUAUUCGGAAGAACACCAGUGGCGAAGGCGGCUCACUGGUCCGGUACUGACGCUGAGGUGCGAAAGCGUGGGGAGCAACAGGG